AAUAUUGCACAAUGGAGGAAACUCUGAUGCAGCGACGCCGCGCGAGUGAAGAAGGUCCUCGGAUCGUAAAACUCUGUCCUUGGUGAAGAUAAUGACUGUAGCCUAGGACGAAGCCCCGGCUAACUACCUGCCAGCAGCCGCGGCAAUACGUAGGGGGCUAGCGUUGGCCGGAUUUACUGGGCGUAAAGGGUGAGUAGGCGGUUAUGUAUGUCAGAUGUAAAAGGCGUGGGCUUAACUUACGUUAGCAUUUGAAACUGCAUAACUUGAGUGCGGGAGAGGUAAGUGGAAUUCCUAGUGUAGCGGUGAAAUGCGUAGAUAUUAGGAGGAACACCAGUGGCGAAGGCGACUUACUGGACCGUAACUAACGCUGAGUCACGAAAGCGUGGGGGGCGAACAGG
rnacentral:rRNA from 1 species